rnacentral:rRNA from 1 species
UACGUAGGGUCCGAGCGUUGUCCGGAAUUAUUGGGCGUAAAGGGCUCGUAGGCGGUCUGUCACGUCGGGAGUGAAAACUUACAGCUUAACUGUGAGCGUGCUUUCGAUACGGGCAGACUUGAGGCAUUCAGGGGAGAACGGAAUUCCUGGUGUAGCGGUGAAAUGCGCAGAUAUCAGGAGGAACACCGGUGGCGAAGGCGGUUCUCUGGGCAUUAACUGACGCUGAGGAGCGAAAGCAUGGGGAGCGAACAGGA